rnacentral:rRNA from 1 species
UACGUAGGGGGCAAGCGUUGUCCGGAUUUAUUGGGCGUAAAGAGCGUGUAGGCGGCUUUGCAAGUCCGUUGUGAAAACUCGAGGCUCAACCUCGAGACGCCGGUGGAAACUGCAAAGCUAGAGUCCGGAAGAGGAGAGUGGAAUUCCUGGUGUAGCGGUGAAAUGCGCAGAUAUCAGGAAGAACACCCGUGGCGAAGGCGGCUCUCUGGAACGGUACUGACGCUGAGACGCGAAAGCGUGGGGAGCAAACAGG